CCCAUAGCUCAAUCGGUUAGAGCAGCGGACUCAUAAUCCGUUGGUUACAGGUUCAAGUCCUGUUGGG
rnacentral:tRNA from 1 species